rnacentral:rRNA from 1 species
AGACAUUAAGCGUGCACGGUGGAUGCCUUGGCCUAGGACGGCUAAGAAGGACGCGACUAACCUGCGAAAAGCUUCGGGGAGGCGGUUUGUAGCCUUUGAUCCGGAGAUAUCCGAAUGAGGAAACUCAUCCUGUUUUUAACGGGAUAUCACGACGGUAACACGUCGGGAAGCGAACCCGGGGAAGUGAAACAUCUCAGUACCCGGAGGAAAAGAGAACAAUAUGAGUUGCGUUCCGUCCUGACGAAAUUUAUUUCGAACGGAUGGAACGCAACUCUCGUGAUUCCCCUAGUAGCGGCGAGCGAAAAGGGGGAAGCCCAAACUGGGACCUGAAUUUAAGGUUCGACCUUAAUGAAUAAUUCACAAGGUCGAACCUUGGCUUCAGGUUCCAGGGUUGUAAGAUGUGAACACCCAAUUUAUUGGAAAAGAGUUACAAAAUGUCUGUAUAGCGGAAGCUGCUGGGAAGCAGCGCCCCAGAGGGUAAUGGCCCCGUACGCGAAAUACAUGAUGACUCUUGUUUAUAUUCUUGAGUAACUCGAGACACGAAUAGCUCGAGUGAAUCUGCCGGAACUAACCGGUAAGGCUGAAUACGUCCUAUGACCGAUAGUGAACUAGUACCGUGAGGGAAAGGUGAAAAGAACCCCGAGAGGGGAAUGAAAUAGACCUGAAACCGUGUACGUACAAGGGGUCGGAGUGGAUUCCCGCAAGGGUUUACCAUGACGGCAUGCCUAUUGAAGAAUGAGCCGGCGAGUGUAUAUAUCUUGCAUAGCUAAGCCCUUCCGGGGCGGAGCUUCAGGGAAACCGAGCGUGAAUAGCGCUACAAGUAGGAUAUAUACGACCCGAAGCCAGAUGAGCUUGCCAUGAGCAGGGUGAAGUCCGUCGAAAGACGAAUGGAGGCCCGAACCCGUAGGUCGUUCAACGCCUUGGGAUGACUUGUGGUAAGGAGUGAAAAGCUAAUCGAAUCUGGGAAUAGCUGGUUCUCUCCGAAACAGCUUUUGGGCUGGCGUUGCGAAAGGUGUGCAUGGGGGUAGAGCACUGGAAGGGACCAACAGGGAGAAAUCUCGUGGUUCCUAUCAAACUCCGAAUACCAUGCGCUCGCGCAGCAGUUAGAAGGUGGGGGCGAAGCUCCAUCGAUCGAGAGGGGAAGAGCCCUGAUCGCCAAUUAAGGCCCCAAAAUCGACAUUCAGUACAUCAACAAGGAAGUGAGGGUCCACUGACAGUGAGGAUGUUGGCUUAGAAGCAGCCACCAUUUAAAGAAAGCGUAACAGCUCACUCAUCGAGGAUCCUUGCGCCAAAGAUGAUCGGGGUUAAAUGUCGUGCCGAAAUUGCGGGUUCCGGAACAUCAGUUUGGAUUUAAAGGUCUGACUUUUUUGAAUUCUUAAAGUAAGACUUUGGAAUUCAAUCCAAACUGAUGUUCCGGAGCGGUAGGAGAGCGUUCCGUUCGCGCUGAAGCUUAAGGGGUAACCCAAGGUGGAGCGUACGGAAGUGAGAAUGCCGGUACAAGUAACCACAAUGCAGGUGAGAACCCUGCACGUCGAAAGACCAAGGUUUCCUCAGCUAUGGUGAUCAACUGAGGGUUAGUCGGGCCUAAGGGGAUGGCGAAAGCCGCACCCGAUGGACACACGGUCAAUAUUCCGUGACCGUUUUUAGAGGCUAUGGAGUGACGAACUGCUGUAUGCACUGCCGGUUAUUGGAUUCCGGUUGUUGGUAUGAGGGCGCGCGUUAGGCAAAUCCGGCGCGCACUAUCCCAAGUACUGACACAAUUUCCUCCUACGGGGGGAGAAAGAGCGCACAGCGCGGUUUCAAGAAAAUCUUCUACGCACCAACUCUAAAGACGACCGUACCGCACACCGACACAGGUGGUCAGGUCGAGAAGACUAAGACGAACGAGUAAGAUGUCCUCAAGGAACUCGGCAAAAAAGCGGCCGUAAGUUAGCGAUAAGGCCUUCCCUCACCACUUUUGAUGCUCAAAAGUGGUGAGGGACGCAGUGAAAGUUUUUCUGGCAACUGUUUACCAAAAACACAGCUCCCUGCAAANNNNNNNNNNNNNACCAAUGCCGAAAGGUUAACCACGGUGGGUUCUUUAUAGCAAUAUAAAGAGCUGGACUGUGUAAGCCCCGGUGAAUGUCGGCGAUAACUAUAAGAUGAUUGUAGUUAAUAAAUUCGGCCAUAUGCUGGAAACCCCGAGUAUCUUCAAGUACUAGCCGCAAGGCAGUGAAAAUCUUGAAGUGCGGGCAAUCAGCAGGAAAGGCUCGCAAGCUUCAUAGAGGAAAUGUUCUUUAAGAUUAUCUCCCCUAUAGCUCAACAAUAGAGAGCAACAAGGGGAGUCCCAUCUGGCAACUCGUACACGUCAAGUGUAUGAGUUGCCUCCUCUGUGAAGCUUGUGAGAAUCCUCAGAGACUAAACGCCGAACUCAACUCUCUUAAUUGAGAACAACGAGAUGAUAUAGNNNNNNNNNNNNNNNNNNNNNUCCUAAGGUAGCGUAAUUCCUUGUCGGGUAAGUUCCGACGUGCACGAAUGGUGUAAUGACUGGAAAACUGUCUCGAGGACUCGCUCGGUGAAAAUGCACUUCCGGUGAAGAUGCCGGAUACCUGUAGUUAGACGAAAAGACCCCAGGAGCUUUACUACAGCUUCGUAUUGGCAUUGCGUGCUGCAUGCGUAGCAUAGAUGGGAGGAUUUGAAGCAUCGGUUUCGGCUGGUGUGGAUCCAUCAGUGAAAUACCAUUCUUGUUGUGUGCAAUGUCUAACCCCGUUGGGAUCCAACGGGGGACCGUGCGUGGCGGGUAGUUUUGGUGGGGCGCUAUCCUCCUAAAAAGUAACGGAGGAGUCUAUUAAGGUUCUCUAGGCGCGAAUGGAAACCGUGCCGAUAGUGUAAUGGCAUAAGAGAGCUUAACUGCGAGACGUACAUGUCGAGCAGAUGCGAAAGCAGAGCAUAGUGAACCGAUGGUACGCCUUAGACGCGGCCAGAGAUUAACGGAUAUAAGUUACCCUGGGGAUAACAGGCUAGUUCCGCCCAAGCGUCCAUAGCGACGGCGGAGUUCGGCACCUCGAUGUCGGCUCACCUUAGCGCGGGGGUGGAGAAGCUCCCAAGCGUUUGGCUGUUCGCCAAUUAAAAAGGUACGCGAGCUGGGUUCAGACCGUUCAGUGUCUCAUUCAAGAUGUCAUCUUGAAAUGGGGAAUUGAGCGGUCUGAAUCCACGAGGUUAGUAAGACAAAAAUCACGGCGGUUGCGCGUAGGAAUACGCGCGAAGAAAUCAACUGAUAUCGAUGAAAUCCGAUCGCGUUGUGUACGCGAGGACAACACCGAGGGAAUGGUUCGACUCCGCUCACCAUGAGCGAUAAGAAUUGACCCGUAGAGACUGAAUGUUGAUCGUCGAGAACCGACGAAGUUACAGUCCGAUCCUCCGAGUAAUCGGAGUAAACGUAGAUGCGUGAGACAGGUUGGUCUCCUAUCUACUACAGGCGUUGAUUCUUGAGGAGGGUCGUCCCUAGUAAAGAAUUGCUACUUCAGAGAGAGAUCUCUGAUGAUAAUGUGGCUUAUAACGGUGAAGUCUACGGUGCUUCUGGUUUUAGAGUUUGAUAUCUCGCGGUCCUGUUGAUAUCAAACUCGCUUGAGGACCAGAAUAGCACUAUGAUAAUACCGUGGGAAGUCGAUCAAAAAUAAAUCUAGCGUAUGUCGCAGAUUUUCUUGAUGGCGAUGGCAGUCUUAUGUUUCAGAUAAAGAAGCGUAAAGACGGAGCGUUGAAAAAACGCCUUAUGGCUACUAUAUGCUUUUAUCAAGAUACGCGACAUGAAAGAGAAUUGUAUUGGAUUCAGCAGAGGUUCGGUAUCGGCUACAUUUCAAGAAGAAAUGACGGCAUGACUGAAUUGCGAAUCAAUGGGUAUGCGCAAGUGCGCGAUAUUCUAAAGAAGUUAAUUCCGUACAAAAGUUAUUCACCAUUUUUGGUUUGACCCCGUAACGACUCGCGCUGAAAGACGCGCGGACUCAUGUGUUGAGGAAUCGUUCCACAUAGAACGACAGCUCACAUGGGUAAGAUGCCAUCAUCCUCGUCCCGAUUAGUGGGAACGGAUGAAGAUAUAGUCUGCGCUCCUGGAAACAGGGGACGAAGCGACGAGAGGACCGGGAUGAACUGACCUCUGGUCUACCAGCUGUCCUGCCAAGGGCACCGCUGGGUAGCUAUGUCGGGUUGCGAUAACCGCUGAAAGCAUAUAAGCGGGAAACGUGCUCCAAGAUUAGGAAUCGUUAUGAGACUCCUAGGAGAUGACUAGGUUGAUAGGCUCUAGGUGGAAGCGCCGCAAGGCGUGGAGCCGAGGAGUACUAAUAUGUCCAGUCU